rnacentral:rRNA from 1 species
UACGAAGGGGGCUAGCGUUGCUCGGAAUUACUGGGCGUAAAGCGCACGUAGGCGGCUUUCUAAGUCGGGGGUGAAAUCCUGGAGCUCAACUCCAGAACUGCCUUCGAUACUGGAGAGCUCGAGUCCGGGAGAGGUGAGUGGAACUGCGAGUGUAGAGGUGAAAUUCGUAGAUAUUCGCAAGAACACCAGUGGCGAAGGCGGCUCACUGGACCGGCAUUGACGCUGAGGUGCGAAAGCGUGGGGAGCAAACAGG